GCCGCCUGCCCCGUGGCUCCAUCCCUGAGCUUUUCUUCUCCCUCCUGCUCCUUGCCCGUAGGUCUGCGUCUGCCGUUGGUCCCCGGGCGUGUUUCUUUGCGAUGCCCUUUAGGGUUUUGCAGCGGGGGUUUCUGCUGCGUUCUUAAUUGCAAAGACGUGCCAGCUGGCUGCUCCACUGAAGCCCGCUUCUCAGGAGAAGUCGUCUUGAUUUAUUUAUUUUUAAUUGUGAUUUUUCUGAUAAAUUUUGCCCGUUGAAGAGCUGUUCUCAGGAGGCAGACGCCAUGCUGGUGGCGUCGCGGUCCUGAUAGAAGCCACGGGGCUUGAUUCAGCAAACUGCGAACACCUCCUGCCCCCGUUUAAAGUGAAAGAAGUUCCCCAGGGAACUUCACGUGAAAACCAAAACGCGUUACUCGUAACGCCGGGCACAAAUGUGUUCGUUAUCUGCUGGGAGGUUAAUGAUACACACGGGCAGAGGCUGUUUGUAGCUCGCUGUAAGGGUUUCACCUUCAUCUUUCGGUUUCUCUCCAUCAGCCCAGGAGCUGCUGAGCUUGCAAUCGCGGUGCCAGGUGGGAGCAUUUAGGUACAAAGAGACCUCCAGCCCCCUGUCCCAUCCCCUCCACAGCAGCCCUUCCUUUCUUUCCAGUGUUUAAGUCUUACAGAAUCACGUUUUUAAAUGACUCAGGUGGCUUCCUUCUGGUGGUUUAAGCUGUUUGAGGCGCGGCGAUGCUCCAGCGCAGGCAGAAAGUUAAAGGCAGAGCUUUUUGUGUGUGGAUCAAUAGGAUGCUGAGUUCAUCUUGCUGGAAGGGCUGCCUCUUUGUUUAGUUCUUCUGACUUUGCAGUUUUAUUUCUGAAGUUCUUCCGUAAACCUUUAAAGGUUUCUAAGAAUCGUGUAAGCUUGUAGGGUCAGGUAACCUUCGAGGGAAAAGGAAACUUGCCUAAAAGCUCCUCUGGACCCAGCUGUGACUUCAGAGCGCUCUGAUUUUUAUUACGCCCGCCUGCCCCAUCAGCCUGCGGAUAUUUCGCUGUUUCUCUGCAGUGUCCUUUAGCAGCAGGUGUCACCUCACGGUUAAAAUGCACGCUUGGAUUUUCAAGUGGCUUCUUAAUCUGCUUUGCGGUUCUACGGCCUGAGCUUCCUAAAUCAGCCACUGCUUAAAGUGCCUCGCCUCUCUUGCUCUCAAGCCGCGUUUGCAGCUUUUUGAAAUCGAGGAAGAAUUUUUAAACAAUGUUUGAUUAAAUUAAAGCAAAAACCCCUCUGGCCACGCAGACGUAGCUGCAGCGUUCCUGCCGCCUCCUCAGCGGAUAAAAUUGUGUCUGCGCUCUCCGGAGCAGUCUCCUGUUCGUACGUGGAGCGCUUGGAGCAGCUCUCGUUUCCUCAGCGUUAGAGCAGGAUUUAUUACUGAACGCGGAGCUAUUUCCUUGGGAAUUCGGUUGCUGGAAGCUGUGGAUCCUGCUCCUCGUUGCUCCGCCUGUACCUUUGUGCUGGAGCCUGCUGCAGCGUGAGCUGCGGGGAAGGACCGAGGCUUGCGAGGGAUUGUUCUCCGUGGCUGCCGGAGUUCAGGAGUUGUUACUCUG